CUCCAAUGUGCCAUGCGAAUCGAGCGCCAUUUUGUUCUCGAACGUGGUGGGAUGGUGUAGUGACCGCAAUUAUAGGCAUAAUUCGUUUUCUGCUGAAUGUAUAGCGAAAUUAAAAAUUGCAGCAAGAAGCAGUAGCUUUUGCUGUGAUGGUUGUUUUGUUAUUAAGCCCAGUUAAUGUUCUCUUGCCUGUAUGCAGCGUGGUGUGGGUGUGAUAUGGCUAUUCUCAUUCUUGAUUGUAAGGUAAAAUUUAUAAUCCAUUAUUUGCUUAAAUGAAUAGGUUUUCAAUUGUAAUUAUUUAUGUUAAUUCAUUUUUUUUAAAGCAAACUGGUGAUUGCGAUCUUUUUUCCCUGAAUUUCUGCAUGUAUAGAAUGUAGUUGCAGAUUAAAUAAUUACAUGGUUCUGCUCGAUUCAGGAAGGAUUUCAUGUCUGCAGAUAAUGUAUUACAAGAGGCUGUUGUGUGCCAGUGGACAAGCUGGUGAGAAGCUGAACACUAAUAGCUUGAAUCCUGGUGAAUGGACUGCCUGCAUAAGCGUCGUCAUGAUUUUUCCACGUGUAAUAUGAAUGCAAGCCAGUUUGCCUUAAAGCAUCCCUUCUUGGAAAAUAUCUUCUAAUGUUUCAUCACAAAAAUCAGUCAAAAACUGUUUCUCAUGAUUUGAAAAAUACGUAUAAAGGAAGUCAAAUUUAAUUGAUAAAUUGUGCAUGCUGAGAUUGUAUACUAUAUCAUAUACAUUUUUAAUAUAUUUUCUGUAUCUCUAAUGUUGAGAAUUUUGAUGUUUUAAUUUAACCCUGAAUAAAAUGUUAAGUACUAUAAGCAAAGUAAGCAGUAUUGUAUUUGAUGUCAGAACAAUAUUUUUUUAUUUUAUACUUGUAUAUUUUUGCUUAUGAUUGGAAUUUUAGUACAAAUUAUUUUGGCAUGAUGUGGCCUGUUCUCAUUUAAAAUGCAUUUUGUAUUUUUUUUUCUUCUGUUAUUUGCAUUAUAAUAGUUUGGCCAUAACAACUAUGGAUGCCAAAUCAACAUGUAUGGGAAUAACUGUAUUAAAUUUUGAGAAAACCUUUAGGUGUCAUUUAUUAUAAAGGUUGAGAUGAUUGUUUUUAUAAAUUCAUUCAUUCUUAUCUAUUUAAGAAUUAUCAUUUAACAUAAAAAUAUGAAAAAGAAUAAUAUAUUAUAAUACUA
rnacentral:lncRNA from 1 species